CGAGCUUGUACGACGGCCAGUGAUUCGAGCUCGGUACCUCGCGAAUGCAUCUAGAUUGGUAAGCCGUAUCGGAAGGUGCGGCUGGAUCACCUCCUUUCUAAGGAUAAGGAAGUACGUUUGGAAGUCUUAUUUAGUUUUGAGAGGUCUUAAAAAAGUAAAGAGAACGUUAAGAAAUCUGUAUGAAAAUAGGAAAGAGACGCAGUGUCAAAAGACACAAGGAAGUUUAUCAUUUUCACUAAGAUUUUAGUUCGAAUACAAUUUAGAUCCAUAAUAUAGUAUGAGUAACAAGAUAAGAAACGUUAACAUAUUAACUGUGGGGCCUUAGCUCAGCUGGGAGAGCGCCUGCUUUGCACGCAGGAGGUCAGCGGUUCGAUCCCGCUAGGCUCCAUUGACAAGGAAAUCGGAUCCCGGGCCCGUCGACUGCAGAGGCCUGCAUGCAAGCUUUCCCUAUAGUGAGUCGUAUUAGAGCUUGGCGUAAUCAUGGUCAUAGCUGUUUCCUGUGUGAAAAA
rnacentral:tRNA from 1 species